rnacentral:rRNA from 1 species
CAUGUGCACGCCUGGCACCAUUUUUAACCACCUGUGCACCCUUUGUAGACCUGGAUACCUCUCGGGGAAACUCGGUUUGAGAACUGCCGCGCGAAAGCCUGCUUUUCUUGCAUUUCCGGUCUAUGUCUUUAUAUAAACCCACAAGAAUGUAACAGAAUGUCAUUAAUGGCCUUUGUGCCUUUAAAUAAAAUACAACUUUCAACAACGGAUCUCUUGGCUCUCGCAUCGAUGAAGAACGCAGCGAAAUGCGAUAAGUAAUGUGAAUUGCAGAAUUCAGUGAAUCAUCGAAUCUUUGAACGCACCUUGCGCUCCUUGGUAUUCCGAGGAGCAUGCCUGUUUGAGUGUCAUUAAAUUCUCAACCUUUCUAGCCUUUUACUGGCGGGACCAAGGCUUGGAUGUGGGGGCUGCGGGCUUCUCAGAAGUCGGCUCUCCUUAAAUGCAUUAGCGAAACAUUUGCUGACCAUCUCUGGUGUGAUAAUUAUCUGCGCCACUGAGAAGCAGCUGAUUUGGCUUCUAACCGUCCUUCACCGGACAGCUCUUGACAUUUGAC